rnacentral:ncRNA from 1 species
CGCGCUCUAACGGGGUGCCGGGGCGGGAAACCGCGACCGGCUGAGAGGCGAUAGCCAACCCGCUGAACCUGAUCCGGCUAGCACCGGCGGAGGGAUUAGAAGCGUUCGGCUC